rnacentral:rRNA from 1 species
UACGGGGGGGGCAAGCGUUGUUCGGAAUUACUGGGCGUAAAGGGCGCGUAGGCGGACCCAAAAGUCCGGGGUGAAAUCUUUCGGCUUAACCGGAAAAUCGCCUUGGAUACUGUGGGUCUCGAGGGAGGUAGGGGCAUGCGGAACUUCCGGUGGAGCGGUGAAAUGCGUUGAUAUCGGAAGGAACUCCGGUGGCGAAAGCGGCGUGCUGGAUCUCUUCUGACGCUGAGGCGCGAAAGCCAGGGGAGCAAACGGG